UGCUAUACUAACAAAUUGAAGUGCAUCCAUUUCGCUCUACUACGAUGAUGGCCUCAAUUGAUCCUUAUCUCUUUCCCACACCCUUCUCUAAGCCGAGUAAAGGAAGAAUGUUAUGCUAAUGUUAUACGCCGCCUUCGCUUCUCACAAGCAGCAUUUCUUCUUUUACUUGUCACAUCUCUUUCCCGCACCCUUUCCGAAAGCGAGUAAAGGAGACAAGAAUCAAGUUCCAUUUGAUCGAUCGUUCCUAUAGUGUGAAACGAUUCUCACCAGCAUUACGAAAGGAAGGAAUCUAGUAUGGGAAGAUAUCAGCUCUUUAGAGUAAAGUGACAGGUGCAUUCGUUCGCACGUGCCUCUCAUCUGCUCUGCUCCCUGUGAGGUCGCUUAAUAACUCCUGCAUCGAAAACCGUUGCAUGAAAAAAUCGAUUUAUGUGACAAGUGUUUAGUCGUUAAAGUUACUUCACUCAACCUUCUUCAAGAUUUAUCGAUAUAGUCAAAAAUGACUAGGGUGAAAACUAUAGGUGUUGAAGUUCACUUGUACAACCUUUUUAAAGAUUUAUUGAUAUGCUCAAAAAUGUCAAUCAUGGUGGUCUAGACUGAAACUAUAGGUGUUGUCUCACUCAACCUUU